CAGACAGCACCCUCACUCCCACACAUAUACAGCACAUAUAUAUAUAUAUAUAUAUUUAGCACACAUAUAUAUAUAUAGCACAUAUAUAUAUAUAUAUAUAUAUAUAUAUGUGCUGUAUAUGUGUGGGAGUGAGGGUGCUGUCUG